CUCAUAUUCCUGCUCGGUCCUCAUGAAUCUCAGGGCUCUUGCCUUGGGAUAGCUCUGGGUUUGCAUGAGGCUGCCAUAUUUUGCACUAUUCCUGUCCAUGGGAAAUUGCGUCAUCAACCUCAGGAAAGAGCAAGAAGGCAUGUCACCUUGCCGUGCCAGGGCUAUUAGAGUCUCAGGACCCAGCCAUGGUCCCACAACAUAGCCAUCCCAGCUGCUGGGUCUUUCUACUUAUUUCUCCCGUGGAAGCAGUGCUAGAGAGGCUAUAAGAGAGAAAUGGAAGAAGGAACCUAAGAAUCAGACACCUUGGUUCUCUCCUGGGGAAGAGAAGCCUCAUGAAUGAAGCUGAGCUGAAACAUGGUGAGAUACUCUCUGAGUUCACGACAUGGUUCUACGUACUCUUCCCUCACUGGUUCAGUGAGGUGCUAGAUAAAGGAAAUACCACAGUUGCUGGCUUCGAGUGGUACUUAAUAAAGAUCCAUCCCCCUUUUUUCUCUCUGCCAUAAGCUUCUCUUCCUUUGAAGUACAAUAACCUGGGGCGGGGGGUGUUGAGACAUGAUCAAAGUACGAGGACCCCAGCAUUCAGAAUGGUGGGG